AGAAAAGGAGGCACAGAGAUGCAGAUGGAGAAUUCAUAGCAUGGAUUGCAGGCAAGUUCAGUGCGAUUCAAGCAGCCCCACAUACCAAUGCUGAGAUUUGAAGAGCUAAGCUGCUAGGAUGCACCCUGGGAAAAGGCUUGUGCAAUGCAGUCCUAGAAAAACUAAAACCAAAGCUGGACAAAUGAUCUUCUUUGUCUAUUCACAGCUCAAAUCCUAUAAAAGACUAUACCCAAGAGUACCAGAAAAACAGAAUAUUUCCAAUAAAGUGGAGAUGGUGCAUGAAUAACAGGAGGUGACGUUCUGCAGUUCUGGAGGCUGGAAUUCCUAGACCAGAGUGUCAGCACAGUCAACUUCUGGUGAGGGUCCUCUUCUGGGUUGCAGACUUCCAAUUUCUCUUUGAUUCCUCAUGUAACAGA